UUUAAGUGUAACCAUAAGUUUUUUUUAUCCAACUUUGAUCGUCCGUCUUAUUUAAAUUUUUUUAUAAUUGGUAUUUUUAUUGUUAUGAGAUGAUAAAAUAUGAAUAGUACUUUAUACGUAAUAUGUUUUUAAAUUUUUUUAAAAAAUUUUUAAAUAAGAUGGACGGUCAAAGUUGUGCAUAAAAAAAUCAUGGUUACAUUUAAA
rfam:Oryza sativa (indica cultivar-group) chromosome 1, whole genome shotgun sequence.